rnacentral:rRNA from 1 species
UGCAGCAUGCCGCGUGUAUGAGAGGCCUUCGGGUUGUAAAGUACUUUCAGCGGGGAGGAAGGGUUAGGUUAAUAACCUUAGCCAUUGACGUUACCCGCAGAAGAGCACCGGCUAACUCCGUGCCAGCAGCCGCGGUAAUACGGAGGGUGCAAGCGUUAAUCGGAAUUACUGGGCGUAAAGCGCACGCAGGCGGUCUGUCAAGUCGGAUGUGAAAUCCCCGGGCUCAACCUGGGAACUGCAUUCGAAACUGGCAGGCUUGAGUCUCGAGAGGGGGGUAGAAUUCCAGGUGUAGCGGUGAAAUGCGUAGAGAUCUGGAGGAAUACCGG